rnacentral:rRNA from 1 species
AGAUGGAUUGGUGCCUUCGGGAACUCUGACACAGGUGCUGCAUGGCUGUCGUCAGCUCGUGUCGUGAGAUGUUGGGUUAAGUCCGUAACGAGCGCAACCCUGUCCUUAGUUACCAGCACGUUAUGGUGGGCACUCUAAGGAGACUGCCGGUGACAAACCGGAGGAAGGUGGGGGAUGACGUCAAGUCAUCAUGGCCCUUACGGCCUGGGCUACACACGUGCUACAAUGGUCGGUACAAAGGGUUGCCAAGCCGCGAGGUGGAGCUAAUCCCAUAAAACCGAUCGUAGUCCGGAUCGCAGUCUGCAACUCGACUGCGUGAAGUCGGAAUCGCUAGUAAUCGUGAAUCAGAAUGUCACGGUGAAUACGUUCCCGGGCCUU